rnacentral:rRNA from 1 species
AUGCAGUCGAGCGGAUGAAGGGAGCUUGCUCCUGGAUUCGCGGCGGACGGGUGAGUAAUGCCUAGGAAUCUGCCUGGUAGUGGGGGAUAACGUCCGGAAACGGGCGCUAAUACCGCAUACGUCCUGAGGGAGAAAGUGGGGGAUCUUCAGACCUCACGCUAUCAGAUGAGCCUAGGUCGGAUUAGCUAGUUGGUGGGGUAAAGGCCUACCAAGGCGACGAUCCGUAACUGGUCUGAGAGGAUGAUCAGUCACACUGGAACUGAGACACGGUCCAGACUCCUACGGGAGGCAGCAGUGGGGAAUAUUGGACAAUGGGCGAAAGCCUGAUCCAGCCAUGCCGCGUGUGUGAAGAAGGUCUUCGGAUUGUAAAGCACUUUAAGUUGGGAGGAAGGGCAGUAAGUUAAUACCUUGCUGUUUUGACGUUACCAACAGAAUAAGCACCGGCUAACUUCGUGCCAGCAGCCGCGGUAAUACGAAGGGUGCAAGCGUUAAUCGGAAUUACUGGGCGUAAAGCGCGCGUAGGUGGUUCAGCAAGUUGGAUGUGAAAUCCCCGGGCUCAACCUGGGAACUGCAUCCAAAACUACUGAGCUAGAGUACGGUAGAGGGUGGUGGAAUUUCCUGUGUAGCGGUGAAAUGCGUAUAUAUAGGAAGGAACACCAGUGGCGAAGGCGACCACCUGGACUGAUACUGACACUGAGGUGCGAAAGCGUGGGGAG